rnacentral:miRNA from 1 species
UAUCUAGAAAAGCUAAAACGU